AAAGAAAGGAAGGAAAAAUGAACCCUGUGUAGGUCUGUUUCCACACUGCUGUAAAGAAAUACCUGAGAUUGGGUAAUUUAUAAAGGAAAGAGGUUUAGUUAACUCACAGUCCUGCGGGGCCAGGGAAGCCUCAGGAAACUUACAGUCAUGGUGGAAGGGAGGAGAAGCAAGCACCUUCUUCACAAGGCAGCAGGAAAAGAGCACAAGCGAAGGAGGAACUGCCAAAUACUUAUAAACCCAUCAGAUCGCGUUACAACUCACUAUCACCAGGACAGCGUAGGGGAACCGCCCCCAUGAUCCAGUCCCCCCUCACCAGGUCCUUCCCUCAACACAUGGGUAUUACAGUUCCAGAUAAGAUUUUUGUGGGGACACAGAGCCAAACCAUAUCAAACCCCUAAGUCCUCUGGUCAGCUAGUGGAUAUGGGGGCUCCAUCUCCAGGGCAGCUGUAGUCCAGCCCAGCACAGGCCAGUGGCAGGGGAAUGCCGUCCUGCUGGCAAGAAUCUCCCAGAUGAACCAUGCCUGUGUGGACCUGAG
rnacentral:lncRNA from 1 species